rnacentral:lncRNA from 1 species
AUCCGCUCCGGGCGCUGCCGCCGGAAGGGCCAGCGACGGAGGGUCUCAGAUGGCGGGGCUUGAGGCCCACCCGGGCUCUCGGGUCGGCGAGUCCCGUUGGGGAGCCCUUGUGCCUGCUAGGAUAUUUAGCAGAUGCCAGGCGGCCAGAAACGUCCUCACUUUUCUCCCUCGGCCCUCUGGGGAACCGCCGUGAGCGUUUCCCACGGACACAAACUUAACAGGCCCAGAACGUCCAGGGAGGACGCGUUGUGAGCCUCAAAGAGCCCACUUACGUGACCGACAGCACCAGGCCGACGGGCACUCGCUGAACUGCUGGCCCGGAGCAGCACAGCUCUUAAGUGGGCAGUGGCAUCUUUUAUACAAAUAAAGGAAGGUGGCCCCACGUCCCUAAAACAACAGCUUGCUGAAGAGAGAUCGCAAAGCAUCCCCCACUCCAGCUCGGGUCUGACUCCAAAGCCCUUCUGCUUUAGAAAGUGUGACUAUUUCUGCUGUAGAAAACCGGUAUCUAGGCCAGGCGCGGUGGCUCACGCCUGUAAUCCCAGCACUUGGGAGGCCGAGAUCUAUUGAAAACAGCUGGGCACCGUGGCUCACACCUGGAAUCCCAGCUGAGGCAGGAGGCUCCCUUGAGCCCAGGAGUUGAAGGUUGCAGUAAGCUAUGAUUGUGUCACUGCACUCCAGCCUGGGAAACAGUGCAAGACCUUGCAUAUUAGAAAAAAGUUUCUGGGAAGUAUACCAAAAGUCUUAACUAAGAUUUGCUAAAUGAAUAUUAAUUAAAUAACCUAACGGCAAGUACAUGGGGAAGUUGGAGGAUCUAGAACCUGACUUCCUUCACACUAACUAUUCCUGCAUUUAGCAGGUAAAAGCCCGAUAGCAUGAUUGAGUGGAAACAUGAAGGGACAAGGGUUUGGCUAGUUAUGUUUAUAAAAAGUCAACAUAGGAAUUGAGUCAAGAUACCAGAAACUCUACUUAUAGUAAGAUCCCACUUUGCAAAAACGGAGAAUGGAAGCGUACAGAACUGUACCUUCUCCUCAAUUUUGCUGUGACUGUAAACUUCCUCUAACACAUAAAAUGUAUUUU